GUCUGGGGCUCAGAGGUAAAGCACUUGCCUAGCAUGCGCGAGGCCCUGGGUUCAAUCCUCAGCACCACAUA
rnacentral:tRNA from 1 species